rnacentral:lncRNA from 1 species
AUGAAGGCCAGUGCUCUGCUCAACACGGCAGCUUUACUGCUGCAGCUUCUGCCAGCUGCCACCUCGUCAGCCGUGGGCCAGUCAGGAUGCAAAGUCAUAUGGGUUUUUAAGUUGCCCUGCACUGAACCUGCUGGUGCUAUUGUCAAUCAGGUGAAGGCUUGGAGCCAAAAGAAGUGUUCUGACAGCCAAGAGAAGUGCAAUUAUGAGUUGAUUAAAGAGUCUCCCACAUCACUUGAAAUCAAGCACACGUCCCCCGGAACCCACAAAACUACUGACAUCACUUUUGAGAUGUACCCUCCUUCAGCACCCAGCUUCUGCAAAAUAAAGAGCUUUGCCACCUCAAAUUCGAAGAAUGCCACCGGUCCAAACGACUACUGCCUGCUCUACAAUCUGAUUGAUGGAAGCGGACUGACUGAAGUGCAAGGCGACAAGGAGAUCUGCAAUGACGCAAUGUGCCCCGCAAGGGUCAAAGCGCCAUGCAACACUGAGGGAUGA